CCCAGACAGCCAGGAUGUUGGCUUAGAAGCAGCCAUCAUUUAAAGAAAGCGUAAUAGCUCACUGGUCGAGUCGGCCUGCGCGGAAGAUGUAACGGGGCUAAACCAUGCACCGAAGCUGCGGCAGCGACACUGAUGUGUUGUUGGGUAGGGGAGCGUUCUGUAAGCCGUUGAAGGUGGCCUGUGAGGGUUGCUGGAGGUAUCAGAAGUGCGAAUGCUGACAUAAGUAACGAUAAAGCGGGUGAAAAGCCCGCUCGCCGGAAGACCAAGGGUUCCUGUCCAACGUUAAUCGGGGCAGGGUGAGUCGACCCCUAAGGCGAGGCCGAAAGGCGUAGUCGAUGGGAAACGGGUUAAUAUUCCCGUACUUGGUGUUACUGCGAAGGGGGGACGGAGAAGGCUAUGUUGGCCGGGCGACGGUUGUCCCGGUUUAAGCGUGCAGGUGUGUGUUCCAGGUAAAUCCGGUUCACUUUAACACUGAGGCGUGACGACGAGGCACUACGGUGCUGAAGCAACAAAUGCCCUGCUUCCAGGAAAAGCCUCUAAGCCUCAGGUAACAUCAAAUCGUACCCCAAACCGACACAGGUGGUCAGGUAGAGAAUACCAAGGCGCUUGAGAGAACUCGGG
rnacentral:rRNA from 1 species